UUGGUAUUCCAGUUCAUGUUUGUGUUGAUACUAUAUCAUGUACUUUUAAUCCAACAUAUAUUUAUCUACUUUUUGCACAGAGUUGUACCCUGGACACCAAUACCCCUGGAGCGUCCAAAGACACGACUCCUUACGGACAGAUAACGUGUGUGGAGUGUUGUAACGGAGACCAUUGUAACAAUAGGGGUUGUGGAGACACGGGACCGCCUCCACGACAGUCACGUGGUCCUUACUGUUACCAGUGUCAACACCUUCAGGACCCCGACGACUGUAAAACUAUCACUCUCUGUGAUAGGAAUCAUGUUUGCACGAUUAAUGAAUCAGUUUCAUUUGGUCACGUGUUUACAAGUGGAUGUCGUCCAAAAGGAGAGUGUUUACAUGAGGGACCACUUGUUGGCAGAAACAUCCACAAUUCGAGCAGAUCUUUACAACUCUGUCAGAAAUGUUGUUCGGAUGAUUUCUGUAAUAAGCACUGCCACGAUCAGCAUCA